CCCAUCAAUCGCUCAGUAGUCAGUGUAGAUUCUGUCUUCACAAUCAGCAGCUACAUCUGGCUACUGGGUCUCUGAUGACAUCU
rfam:Pterocles gutturalis contig91664, whole genome shotgun sequence.